UACGAAGGAUGCAAGCGUUAUCCGGAUUCAUUGGGUUUAAAGGGUGCGUAGGCGGUCUUAUAAGUCAGUGGUGAAAUCUCCUCGCUUAGCGAGGAAACUGCCAUUGAUACUGUAGGACUUGAGUAUAGUUGCUGUGGGCGGAAUACGACAUGUAGUGGUGAAAUACUUAGAGAUGUCGUAGAACACCGAUUGCGAAGGCAGCUCACAAAACUAUAACUGACGCUGAGGCUCGAAAGUGCGGGGAGCAAACAGG
rnacentral:rRNA from 1 species